rfam:Vitrella brassicaformis CCMP3155 genome assembly, contig: scaffold787
GCGGCCUUAGUGUAGUGGAUUAACACAUCGGCCUCCGGAGCCGGGGGUCGUGGGUUCGAACCCCACAGGCCGUA